rnacentral:lncRNA from 1 species
GGCUGUUUCUGUGCCAAAUACUGGUCUAAGGCAUAAAAUUAAGACCUUCUCAGAUAUUUUCUGAGCCUAUGUUUUCCUCUGUGCAUACACACUGACUUUCUAAUUUUCCUAUAUAUGCGGUUGCUUUUGAAUGCCCUAGUCCUCCAUGACUGGCUCAAAAGGGGAAAAAAAGAGAAAAGUAAAAGCGAGGAGAAGGCAACAUCCCUUCAAAUCUUCUGGAAGUCACUUUAGUCAGAAGGAGAGAAAAACCAAUGGGACAGCAAAUUCUCAUAGAACUGGCUGAAAAGGAUCUGUAUUUUUUUCUUGCUGUCCACUUAUUUUCCAACAAGAACCCUGGCUGUCUUUGUGAUGACUCAGGAAGAGGAGGAUUUGUGCACAGCCAAGAGGAAAUAGGACCUCCAUAUUUGCCAUUUGGAUGCAGAGAAUAUGAACAGACUUCUCUGAGACCCAAGAACUGAAGAAAUUGUUGGGUCCUCUCAGUAAAGUGGGUCUAAGAAGCAUGUGUGAAUGAGUGUUGGUUGGGCAUGCAGGUGUUGUUAAUUGUGUUUUUGCUCUUUUUUAUACAUAUCUUUGUGUUAUCUACUUACAGUUAUAGACUCAGAUAUGGAAGAAAUCUGAGUCUCACUCAGACAAUUUGGGGUUUCAUUCUUUUUUAUAUGUAAAAUCUAAGAAAUACCCUAGUAGUUAAGUGACUCGUCUGCACCGCCCAGUUUUCUCUCUGUGGCAGCAGCUCCAAGGGUAAUCUAGUAGCAAAAUCUAGAACCAUGGCAAAAAUGCAGAGAGAGAAAUAUAUAUUUUCAUGGAAUCAGUAUACAACACUAAAUGUAACUGGCCUUUUGGGAAAAAAAAAAAGGAGGGGGCGGUGGAAACCUGGUCUAACAAUCGUCUCAGCCCUGUCUGGAUUGUGGAAAAGGGCCCAUAGCCCAGGCGCUCUUCCAUGAUUACAUAUUAACAUACAUGCAUGUUGGAAACCUACUAUAUAUAUAAUUGCUUUAUGUCCACAGUAGAUUUUAAAUUCUUUUUUUUUCCCUAGCAAACAUUCUUCUAGAGACUCUCAACUUUAAUUUGAAAAAAAGGUAAAAUCUCAUUUGUCUUGAUGAGGGCUACAGUGUACCCCUAGUGACCAGAUAUUCCAUACUGAAAUCAUUGCUGUUUCUAACUCCAGGGCCAGUGAAUCUAGGACUAGUGUUGAAGGGGAGAGUGCAGAAUGAAGAACUAUUUUCCACUCAGUUUUGCCUGUUUACAUUUUACUACUAGAACCUCUCCUUUAUUGCUUCGUUUAGAAUCUGGAUUAGCAAAGCGUCAGGAGCUUUCAUGUUUAUCACACAAUUUAAAAUGGAAUGAAACACACACCAUCACAAAGCCCAGGUGUUGGAUUAGAAUUUUUUUUUUUUUGCUUUAAAAAUGGUUUUUAUUUCUAUUUUUAUUUUAUUUAUUUUUUCUUCAACUUUCAUUUUAAGUCCCAGGGUACAUGUGCAGGAUGUGCAGGUUUGUUACAUAAGUAAACAGGUGCCAUGGUGGUUUGCUCCACAGAUCACCUAGGUACUAAGCCAAGCAUCCAUUAACUAUUUUUCCUGAUGCUCUCCCUGCCCCCACCCCCACUGAAAGGCCCCCGUGUGUGUUGUUCCCCACCAUGUGUCCACAUGUUCUCAUCAUUCAGUUCCCACUUAUAAGUGAGAACAUACGGUGCUCAGUUUUCUGUUCCUGCGUUAGUUUGCUGAGGAUAGCAUCUUCCAACUAUCCGUGUCCCUGCAAAGAAUGUGAUCUCCUUCCUUUUUAUGGCUGCAUAUUAUUCUUUGGUGUAUAUGUAUCACAUUUUCUCUAUCCAGUCAAUUAUUGAUGAGCAUUUGGAUCAAUUCCAUGUAUUUGCUACUGUGAAUAGUGCUGCAAUGAACAUAUGUAUGCAUGUGUCUUUAUAACAGAAUUGUUUACAUUCCUUUGGGUACAUACCCAGUAAUAAGAUUGCUGGGUCAAAUGUUAUUUCUGCCUUUAGGUCUUUGAGGAAUCACUAUUUUGUCUUCCACCGUGGAUGAACUAAUUUAUACUCCCACCAACAGUGUAAAAGCAUUUCUUUUUCUCUGCAACCUUGCCAGCAUCUGUUAUUUAUUGACUUUUUAAUAAUGGCCAUUUUGAUUGGCGUGAGCUGGUAACUCAUUGUGGUUUUGAUUUGUAUUUCUCUAAUGAUCAGUGAUGUUGAGCUCUUUGUGUAUAUAAAUUGUGUGAUUCCAACUCAGUGCUGUCUAACCCUCAACCCUCCUUGCCCUCCUCUCUUCCGUUCCCCUUCAGAAAUGUCUGAAUCCAGUUUUUCUUCAGAAUACUUUCUCCAGGCAAUGUUGGAAGUUUUCUUUCCAACUUCCAGUCUUUUCUGCUCUGUCUUGAUCAAUAAACGUGUUCUUUUGCUUGUAGCCUAGGGCCAAAGCCUGUGUGUUAAAGUGAUGUUGUCACAAAAUGCCUGGUGAUGUCAUAAAGCACUGGGAGAUCUGGCAAAAGCAGCAAUCCUCAUUUUUAUGUCCCCAGAAAAUUAUUGGUACCCAAAGGGCCAUCACAUCUUCUGUCUAUGCACCAGUUGUUGUAGAAAUAGUGAAGGCCUAGUUAACUUCGUGCAUUUACAUGUUUGACAGAUUUCUAUAAAAGACUGUGUAGAGAAUAUAGAUUUAAGGAGCCGAAGUUAUUAAAAUGGGGUGGGGUGAGAGGAACUAGGCCAAUAAAAGCAGACAACGUGGUUUUUUAAUCCUUUCCACAGGAAUUCAGGCAAAAGGGGAAUAAAAUAAUUCUACAGGGUCACUUGUAAUUCAGCUUAAACUAAGCUCAGGAAACUGAAUAAUAUUUCUCAGAAGGCUGAUUUAUGCACUUAAAGUAACUAAGUCCCAG